rnacentral:lncRNA from 1 species
CUGUGGGUCCGGCUCUCAGAACUUAUGCCACUGGUUGUUGUGGGAGCAGGCAGAACUCUUUAGCAGAACGGACUUCUUAAGAGAUUGACAGUGCGACGAAAAUAUCAAAGGUGGAAGAUGGGAAAUCUGCCUCUCUUCUGUCACUGGUGUAUUGCCAACACUGAGUAAUGUCUAUCAUAUAUUAAGUGAAUAGUAAAUAAAUGUGGAAG